rnacentral:rRNA from 1 species
GAUGAACGCUAGCGGCAGGCCUAACACAUGCAAGUCGAGGGGUAGAGUUAGCUUGCUAACUUGAGACCGGCGCACGGGUGCGUAACGCGUAUGCAAUCUACCUUAUACAGGGGAAUAGCCCAGAGAAAUUUGGAUUAAUGCCCCAUGGUAUUAUUAAGUGGCAUCAUUUGAUAAUUAAAGUUCCAACGGUAUAAGAUGAGCAUGCGUCCCAUUAGUUAGUUGGUAAGGUAACGGCUUACCAAGACGAUGAUGGGUAGGGGUCCUGAGAGGGAGAUCCCCCACACUGGUACUGAGACACGGACCAGACUCCUACGGGAGGCAGCAGUGAGGAAUAUUGGUCAAUGGAGGCAACUCUGAACCAGCCAUGCCGCGUGCAGGAAGAAGCAUCUAUGGUGUGUAAACUGCUUUUAUACAGGAAGAAACAACGCUACGUGUAGCGUCUUGACGGUACUGUAAGAAUAAGGACCGGCUAACUCCGUG